GUUCUUGUUUUGGCAGCACAUGUACGAAAAUUGGAAUGAUACAGAGAUUAGCAUGGCCCUUGUGCAAGGAUGACAUGGAAAUUCAUGAAGCAUUCUCUGUUGUU
ensembl:snRNA U6 U6 spliceosomal RNA